rnacentral:rRNA from 1 species
GAUGAACGCUGGCGGCGUGCCUAAUACAUGCAAGUCGAGCGAAUGGAUUAAGCGCUUGCUCUUAUGAAGUUAGCGGCGGACGGGUGAGUAACACGUGGGUAACCUGCCCAUAAGACUGGGAUAACUCCGGGAAACCGGGGCUAAUACCGGAUAACAUUUUGAACCGCAUGGUUCGAAAUUGAAAGGCGGCUUCGGCUGUCACUUAUGGAUGGACCCGCGUCGCAUUAGGUAGUUGGUGAGGUAACGGCUCACCAAGGCAACGAUGCGUAGCCGACCUGAGAGGGUGAUCGGCCAAGCUUGGACUGAGACACGGCCCAGACUCCUACGGGAGGCAGCAGUAGGGAAUCUUCCGCAAUGGACGAAAGUCUGACGGAGCAACGCCGCGUGAGUGAUGAAGGCUUUCGGGUCGUAAAACUCUGUUGUUAGGGAAGAACAAGUGCUAGUUGAAUAAGCUGGCACCUUGACGGUACCUAACCAGAAAGCCACGGCUAACUACGUGCCAGCAGCCGCGGUAA